rnacentral:rRNA from 1 species
AAUAGAUACCCGGGUAGUCCACGCCGUAAACGAUGAGUGCUAAGUGUUAGAGGGUUUCCGCCCUUUAGUGCUGCAGCAAACGCAUUAAGCACUCCGCCUGGGGAGUACGGUCGCAAGACUGAAACUCAAAGGAAUUGACGGGGGCCCGCACAAGCGGUGGAGCAUGUGGUUUAAUUCGAGGCAACGCGAAGAACCUUACCAGGUCUUGACAUCCUUCGCUACUUCUAGAGAUAGAAGGUUCCCCUUCGGGGGACGGAGUGACAGGUGGUGCAUGGUUGUCGUCAGCUCGUAUCGUGAGAUGUUGGGUUAAGUCCCGCAACGAGCGCAACCCUUGACCUUAGUUGCCAGCAUUCAGUUGGGCACUCUAAGGUGACUGCCGGUGACAAACCGGAGGAAGGUGGGGAUGACGUCAAAUCAUCAUGCCCCUUAUGACCUGGGCUACACACGUGCUACAAUGGAUGGUACAAAGGGCUGCAAGACUGCGAAGUCAAGCCAAUCCCAUAAAAACCAUUCUCAGUUCGGAUUGCAGGCUG